GCCGGGGGUCAGCCUGCCGGGGGUCGGUCAGCCUGCCGGGGGUCGGUCAGCCUGCCGGGGGAUCCGAUAAGGUUUGACAGACAAAUCUAAAAGAAUAGAUUAAACGAUUUUGUUGGAAUAAAAGAUACUGGAUUUUCUUACCUCUGAAUGAGAACUGAGGUGAAUAUGUGCAACUCAACUGUUUUCUGCUUUCAAAGACAAUUCUAUUUAAUUUGUUGAGAUUAAAAGUAUUGACUUGAAAGUAUUAGUUCAAAAAUUGAAAAUCUUGGCUUUUAAAACAAAUUACAGAACUUUACAUCCUGCUGUAGAGCUCGCCUUUGCAGGGCUGGUUCCUUUCAUCGCAGGGCAGCGGUCCCGGCUCACAGCCUCGGCCCGCUGGACUGUGUCCCGGCUCGGAUUCCAGCAGUGGGGAAUGUUCGUGCGACCGGUCUGACUCCGAUGCCUUUCUCCACAGGAGGGCGGAGUAUGAACAGGCGUCCGCAGGGUGGUGACUGUCCUACACAGGCAGAAGGAGCUGCCUUUCUGAAAUGUUUCCAAAUGUUCCUGAAAGUCAACAAAUAAAAAUUAUGAAUGCCAAA